UUGAUUUUUGUACAUUCAGUAUAUUGCAUCCCGCUAGGGACGACUUUGUGUUUGUACAGGGUUUGUAAAAUGGAGGUCGAUAGACGGGGGGUUUGGGAGAUUGGGGACCGACAGGUGAGGGUUACCCCUCCCUGAAGCGCCCAGUUUUUAAUCUCUUUAAUGAUCCUUCCGCAGGUUCACCUACGGAAA
rnacentral:misc_RNA from 1 species